AUCGUUCGGACUAGUGACUUGUCUUGCUGUGGAAUCGUUUUGUCUACGGUAUGCGGUUCGUUCGCGGAUCGUAUUACUUCGGGCAUCGUUAAUAGCAAACUUAGAACUCGCUGCGUCUAGGGGAAUCCGACUGUCUAAUUAAACAGAGCUUUGCGAUUGGCCGGAAAACUUGGUGUUGAACGCAAAGUGAUUUCUGCCCAGUGCUCUGAAUGUUAACGUGAAGAAAUUCAAAUAAGCGCGGGUAAACGGCGGGAGUAACUAUGACUCUCUUCUGGUAGCCAAAUGCCUCGUCAUCUAAUUAGUGACGCGCAUGAAUGGAUUAACGAGAUUCCCACUGUCCCUGUCUACUAUCUAGCGAAACCACAGCCAAGGGAACGGGCUUGGACUUCAAUGCGGGGAAAGAAGACCCUGUUGAGCUUGACUCUAAUCUGUCUUCGUAAAGAGACUUGAAAAGUGUAGUGUAGAUGGGAGUGGCAACACGGC
rnacentral:rRNA from 1 species